rnacentral:sRNA from 1 species
ACGACCGACGGUGCCGAAAGCUGUUCCACUUCGAGCGUCAGGCGAUCGCGAAGCGGAGACCGGAUGCAAACCGGGUCCGUUGCGC